GACGAACGCUGGCGGCGUGCUUAACACAUGCAAGUCGAACGGAAAGGCCCUGCUUUUGUGGGGUGCUCGAGUGGCGAACGGGUGAGUAACACGUGAGUAACCUGCCCUUGACUUUGGGAUAACUUCAGGAAACUGGGGCUAAUACCGGAUAGGAGCUCCUGCUGCAUGGUGGGGGUUGGAAAGUUUCGGCGGUUGGGGAUGGACUCGCGGCUUAUCAGCUUGUUGGUGGGGUAGUGGCUUACCAAGGCUUUGACGGGUAGCCGGCCUGGGAGGGUGACCGGCCACCUUGGGACUGAGGUUCGGCCCAGACUCCUACGGGGGGCAGCAGGGGGGAAUAUUGCACAAUGGGCGGAAGCCUGAUGCAGCAACGCCGCGUGCGGGAUGACGGCCUUCGGGUUGUAAACCGCUUUCGCCUGUGACGAAGCGUGAGUGACGGUAAUGGGUAAAGAAGCACCGGCUAACUACGUG
rnacentral:rRNA from 1 species